GCGCAUCAAUAUCUCUAACAUAUUAGCCAUCCGCACAGUAGUUUCAGGAGACCGAUACAGAAAACGGCCACAUGUCUCAAGAAGAUUGCAAGCAACAUCAAUGUUAUGAUGAGUGAAAUCAUCUAAACAAGCCUUCAAACAAUUGAAGACAAGGCCAGCUGGUGCAAUUCUAAAUUUGCAGAGUUCUGCAAUAAAUCUAAUAUUUCUGAUCUUUGUUUCGAUGUUCAUUUGAUCCUUCUUAUUUAACAAGAAAUUGAACUCCUCAUCUAACAUCUGCACAAGGAUGGAAGAGACGUCCUUCAUACAAGUUGAUAGUGUGGCAACCAUUCGAGAGUAGUAUGGUAGCAGUUCUAGAGACGUUCUAGGUACAUUAAACAAUGCCUUUACAAGCUUUUUCCGGUUUGACUUUGAAUUUAAGUAACAAAACUCUACAGUCAAUUGAUCAAUAAGGUCACGACUGACACAUCCAGGAAGCCUUUGCAGUAAAGCAUCCAAGUUUGACCCUUCAAGACCUUUGGGUUUCUCCUUUUCAAUCUCUCCUUUUCUCUCUGCAUCCUUUUCUUUACCCUUCUCUUUUUCUGGAUCUUUAGCUUUUUCUUUAUCCUUUUCUUCCUUAUCCUUUCCUUUCUCAAUGCUUUUUCCCUCCUGCAAAGUACCAGAGUCUGCAGAGGACUCUGCAUUAUCUAGACUAGGUUGGCCUUGGUCUGAUUCAGGUGCCACCUCACUUGGUUGCUCUUGAAUCCUUGCAGAUUGUUCAUUCGCUUUCGGCUCUGCUUCUCCCAACAAUACUGCUGGAACAAAUGCUCUGAGAUCUGGUAAGCAUUCAUAAAAUGCUCUAGUAUCUUCAUCAUCCCACAAAGCUUCAAGAACAGAAGAAUCUUUGCCGGCAGCAGGUGAUGAAGAAUCAUCUCCAGUAGUAACCCUAGUAGUGUGGCCAUCUUCUGGCAUCACUGGAGGUUGCAUGUCAAGGGCUUCAGCCAAAGAAGAAACAUUGCGAUAUAAAUGCUCAUAAGAUUUUCGAAGCUUUUCAUAUGAUGCAACAUUUUCAUCAGUAAGCUCUCCUUUAGCAUUCAAAAUCUUCGCAUUUUCAUGUUCCAUUUGGCGGAGAGACGCGUGCUCAGACUGAAGUAGUUCUGAUACAGCAUCGAAAUACGUACUAAAGGCUUUCUUGAAUAUUUUCUUCUGAUCUGCUGUGAUAUUAAGGCCCUUGAAAAACUCUUCAUGAAUUUCUUGUCCAGACAGAGGCAGUCCU
rnacentral:misc_RNA from 1 species